CUCUCUCUAUCUUUCUCGGUAUAUAUUUUGGAUAGAUACCUGUUCUACACUUACGUAGUAGCUGAAUUGCUCACGCCUAUAUGUGAAUUAAAGUAUGUGCUUGUAUGAAUAUGAUUUUCUGGGUGGAGAAGUUAUUUUAAAUUGCUGAUAACCGAAAGUGUAGUUGUUGGGUGGGAUAUGCAAGUUGCUAAACUUGAUUUGUAAUGCCACACGUUAAAUUAGUUCAUAGAAGAUGAAUGGUAACUGUAAUAGCUUACUUCCAGCGUGGGUCACUAUGUAUGUCUAUAAAAUGCAUGAAAGCUAUGUAGAGAAGCUAUCAAAAUUAUAUGAGUUAACCUGUCUCGAUCUGUCUUCUCCCCUCUCCGUUCUUCUGAAUUUAUGAAUCUUUUCCCUUCUUAUCCUCUCUGAUCCGCACGUUUUGAUACAAGCCAAACGGCCAUCUUAGCCUUUGAUGCCAUCGUUCGAGGCCAACACAUGGAAAAUCUGAUUUUGGAAACUUUGAAGGCCCGAGAGUAUGCACGGGGAAGCCAUUGUGGGCACUCAAUAGGGCAAUCCCGUGUGUGUAAGGUUGCAUGGGGGCUUGCCUUGAUGCCCGAGAGCUACAAGUGUUGAAGUAUCAACCAUCCACAGUUGGAGCAUUGAAGAGGUGUCCAUUCAUUGGUGUCUUAACACUCCAAGACCGCCCCUUCAUUAAGGGUGUCUUGGUCAUUUUAUGUCCCUCCUUGACUCCAUAGGUGCCUCUUUCAUUAAGGGUAGUCAUUAAGGCAAGCCUCCAAGCAACCCUCCACACACGGAAUUGCUCUCUUGAAUGUUCAAAACGGGUCCUCCAUGCAUGCUCUUGUGUCCUCGAGGUGAUCAAAGCUUGAGUUUUUAAGUGUUGGCCUCCAAGGAUGUCAUCAAAAGCUAUGUUGGCCGUUUGGCUCGUAUCAUCUUCAUCCCACUUCAAUCAUUCUUCGACUCUGGAGCUCCUUUCAAAUUCCAUUAGGAAUUCAUUCGCAAGUGCAGAGCUAUUCUGCUUGUCAUCCCUGUAAUUUAUGUCUAUAGCAUUGUAAUUCCUCUCUGUUAAUGUGUUAAUUGCACUCUGUUUCAAUAUAAAUAAUAUCUCUUGUUCAGCU